rnacentral:rRNA from 1 species
CCUACGGGUGGCAGCAGUGGGGAAUAUUGGGCAAUGGAGGAAACUCUGACCCAGCAAAGCCGCGUGAAUGAAGAAGGUCUUCGGAUUGUAAAGUUCUUUAGUCAGGGAAGAAGCCAAUGACGGUACCUGAAGAAUAAGCUCCGGCUAACUACGUGCCAGCAGCCGCGGUAAUACGGAGGGAGCAAGCGUUGUUCGGGAUGACUGGGCGUAAAGGGUGCGUAGGCGGUUGUACAAGUUAGAAGUGAAAUACCCAGGGCUUAACUCGGGUGCUGCUUCUAAAACUGCAUGACUUGAGUGCAGUAGAGGUUAGUGGAAUUCCUAGUGUAGCGGUGGAAUGCGUAGAUAUUAGGAGGAACACCAGUGGCGAAGGCAGCUAACUGGACUGCAACUGACGCUGAGGCACGAAAGUGUGGGGAGCAAACAGGAUUAGAUACCCUAGUAGUC